UUACAUGCGAGGGGAAAGUUGAAAAGAAGGUUGAAGAGAGAGUUCAAGAGUACGUGAAACCGUUCAGGGGUAAACCUGAGAAACCCGAAAGGUCGAACGGGGAGAUUCAGCGCGGCCCGGAUAACCGCGGCGAGUCGGCAACGUGCGACCGUCGGCGUUCGCGCCGGCGGCUCCGUGUCCGUUCCGUCCGCGGCCGAACGCGUGCACUUCUCCCCCUGUAGGACGUCGCGACCCGUUGGGUGCCGGUCUAAGGCGCGCGGUCCGGUCCGUUCGAGUAUACGCUCGUACGAAACCGCGGACGCCCGACCGGCGACCUACCGACGGUACGAUCAUGGCGAGGGGCCGCGAUCAGUUCGCGUCCGGCCGAUCGCAAGUACGGACGGUCGCUUCAUAUCCGGAGCGCGGACCUGGCGCCGCAUCCGGACCCGUCCGACUGUUGGCGGAUUGAAGUUCUUCGGGAACAAGGAACCCCUGUUAACAACGCCGGUUCGGCGGCGCUAUAAGCUUGGAACUCGGGCGAC
rnacentral:rRNA from 1 species